UACGGAGGGUGCGAGCGUUGUCCGGAAUCAUUGGGCGUAAAGGGCGCGUAGGUGGCCCAGUAAGCGUGCGGUGAAAGCUCGGGGCUCAACCCCGAGUCGGCCGUGCGAACUGCUGGGCUGGAGCACUGUAGAGGCAGGCGGAAUUCCGGGUGUAGCGGUGGAAUGCGUAGAGAUCCGGAAGAACACCGGUGGCGAAGGCGGCCUGCUGGGCAGUGGCUGACACUGAGGCGCGACAGCGUGGGGAGCAAACAGG
rnacentral:rRNA from 1 species